GUCGUAACAAGGUUUCCGUAGGUGAACCUGCGGAAGGAUCAUUCACACGAAUAUCCAGUACAACAACGUGCAUCUUAUGUGGGCACCGCGGCGCGUGCGGCGAUUACAUCAACGCCACGCCGGUCUGCGUUCCCGGGGUGGACGAUGAGUUUGGUCAAAGGAGCCUCUCUUGUCGAGCCACCAAUUUUACUCAACCACAUUGAGUUCUUUGUUUCCGGAACUUUUCGUUCCAGUAAACAUUUCACAACUUUCAGCGAUGGAUGCCUCGGCUCGGGUAACGAUGAAGGACGCAGCGAAAUGCGAUAAGCACUGUGAAUUGCAGAAUUCCGUGAAUCAACAGAACUUUGAACGCAUCUUGUGCUUUCGGGAUAUCCCUGAAAGUAGGUCUGCUUCAGAGUCUCCACUGUAUACUGCUCCAUUGCGUGAUUCUUCGCGUCCAAUAGAGCGUUGUUGUGCGUUAGUGCUGUGUUAAGUGCUGACGCAUCGAAUGCAUCGGGACACCUGCUGUGCCACCAACAUGGUGCUCCGCUUCAAGCGGUGUCAUUGUUGGAACUACAGUUCGGUUAACCUGUCCCGUCUGUUCAUGGGAGCGUAACAGUUCCCGCACCAAGACAUGAAGCCAGGCCAGGCUACGCGCUGAAUUUAAGCAUAUAAGUAAGCGCAGGAAAAGAAACCAAAUGGGAUUCCCUUAGUAAUGGCGAAUGAACAGGGAAGAGCUCAGCAUGAAAAUCGGGGCCCAUCGGCCUUGAAUUGUAGUCUUUAGAAGUGUUACCAGUGUGGACGCUGAUGUAAGUCUCUUGGAAAAGAGCAUCGGAGUGGGUGAGAGUCCCGUCUGUCAUCAGCAGUUCUGCGCGUACGGUGCGCUUUCGACGAGUCGCGUUCAUUGGGACUUGAGCGCAAAGUGGGUGGUAAAUUUCACCUAAAGCUAAAUAUGGGCUCGAGACCGAUAGCAAACAAGUACCGUGAGGGAAAGGUGAAAAGGACUUUGAAAAGAGAGUUAAAAGUGCCUGAAAUCGCUGAAAGGGAAGCGAAUGAAACCAGUUUUCUUGGUGAGAUUGUUGUACGCUAUGUGGAUGGCUCGUUGUUUCAGCGCAAGCGUGGCAGCGGGUUUUGAUACUGUCGCGUGCGAUGUUUCUCGCUUUGAGUGUCAACGUCAGUUCGGGCUCGAGGAAAACCUUGGCGUUCGGAUCUACUUCUGCGGAGGUCGGGAGGUCGCCGAUGGAACUCUUGCCUUGACUGAGGAAUGCGUGUGAGGGUUACAGUCGAGGAGGGUGUAUCUGAAUGUGUUAGGUUGGCCUUCGGGCCUGCUUGGCGCAGGAAGUGCCUCUCUUUGGCUACUCUCAUUCUACGAUGUUGACGAAAUGGUUUUAUCCGACCCGUCUUGAAACACGGACCAAGGAGUCUAACAUAUGUGCAAGUAUGUGGGUGUCAAACCUAUAUGCGCAAUGAAAGUAACUGGUGGGAUCUUUGCACCACCAACCGACCACGAUCUUCUGAGAGAGGUUUGAGUAUGAGCAUAUCUGUUAGGACCCGAAAGAUGGUGAACUAUGCGUGAA
rnacentral:rRNA from 1 species